GAUGAAGAACGCAGCGAAAUGCGAUAAGUAAUGUGAAUUGCAGAAUUCAGUGAAUCAUCGAAUCUUUGAACGCACAUUGCGCCCGCCAGUAUUCUGGCGGGCAUGCCUGUCCGAGCGUCAUUUCAACCAUCAAGCCCCCGGCUUGUGUUGGGGACCUGCGGCUGCCGCAGGCCCUGAAAACCAGUGGCGGGCUCGCUAGUCACUCCGAGCGUAGUAAUACAUCUCGCUCAGGGCGUGCUGCGGGUUCCGGCCGUUAAAAAGCCUUAUUUACCCAAGGUUGACCUCGGAUCAGGUAGGAAGACCCGCUGAACUUAAGCAUAUCAAUAAGCGGAGGA
rnacentral:misc_RNA from 1 species